rnacentral:rRNA from 1 species
AGAGUUUGAUCAUGGCUCAGGAUGAACGCUGGCGGCGUGCUUAACACAUGCAAGUCGAACGGGAGACCUUUUAUUGAAGCUUCGGCAGAUUUAGCUGGUUUCUAGUGGCGGACGGGUGAGUAACGCGUGGGUAACCUGCCCUAUACAGGGGGAUAACAACCAGAAAUGGUUGCUAAUACCGCAUAAGCGCACAGGACCGCAUGGUCUGGUGUGAAAAACUCCGGUGGUAUAGGAUGGACCCGCGUUGGAUUAGCCAGUUGGCAGGGUAACGGCCUACCAAAGCGACGAUCCAUAGCCGGCCUGAGAGGGUGAACGGCCACAUUGGGACUGAGACACGGCCCAGACUCCUACGGGAGGCAGCAGUGGGGAAUAUUGCACAAUGGGGGAAACCCUGAUGCAGCGACGCCGCGUGAAGGAAGAAGUAUCUCGGUAUGUAAACUUCUAUCAGCAGGGAAGAUAGUGACGGUACCUGACUAAGAAGCCCCGGCUAACUACGUGCCAGCAGCCGCGGUAAUACGUAGGGGGCAAGCGUUAUCCGGAUUUACUGGGUGUAAAGGGAGCGUAGACGGAUUAGCAAGUCUGAUGUGAAAGGCAGGGGCUCAACCCCUGGACUGCAUUGGAAACUGCCAGUCUUGAGUGCCGGAGAGGUAAGCGGAAUUCCUAGUGUAGCGGUGAAAUGCUUAGAUAUCACGAAGAACUCCGAUUGCGAAGGCAGCUCACUGGGGCGCAACUGACGCUGAAGCUCGAAAGCGCGGGUAUCGAACAGGAUUAGAUACCCUGGUAGUCCGCGCGGUAAACGAUGGAUGCCCGCUGUUGGGCCAACUGGUUCAGCGGCCAAGCGAAAGCAUUAAGCAUCCCACCUGGGGAGUACGCCGGCAACGGUGAAACUCAAAGGAAUUGACGGGGGCCCGCACAAGCGGAGGAACAUGUGGUUUAAUUCGAUGAUACGCGAGGAACCUUACCCGGGCUUGAAUUGCAGAGGAAGGAUUUGGAGACAAUGACGCCCUUCGGGGCCUCUGUGAAGGUGCUGCAUGGUUGUCGUCAGCCCGUGCCGUGAGGUGUCGGCUUAAGUGCCAUAACGAGCGCAACCCCUCUCCAUAGUUGCCAUCAGGUGAAGCUGGGCACUCUGUGGACACUGCCACCGUAAGGUGCGAGGAAGGUGGGGAUGACGUCAAAUCAGCACGGCCCUUACGUCCGGGGCUACACACGUGUUACAAUGGCAGGUACAGAGAGCCGGUCGUAUGCAAAUACGAUCCAAUCCUUAAAGCCUGUCUCAGUUCGGACUGGGGUCUGCAACCCGACCCCACGAAGCUGGAUUCGCUAGUAAUCGCGCAUCAGCCAUGGCGCGGUGAAUACGUUCCCGGGCCUUGUACACACCGCCCGUCAAGCCAUGAAAGCCGGGGGCGCCUGAAGUCCGUGACCGCAAGGAGCGGCCUAGGGCGAAACUGGUAAUUGGGGCUAAGUCGUAACAAGGUA